AUGUUGCAGUCCAUGGGGCUCUUGUCUGGUGGAGUCGGCCCUUCCUCCUGUGCUGUGUACCAGCUGCCCUGCACCUUCCCUGCCUAGCCCGGGCGUCAGCCACCUCUCCUCACUGCCUGUGGGUUAGGUCUGAAGACUGCAGCUGACCUGCCUGGCCACCAGGCUCCUCACUCCCCAGUGCCUCGGACCCAGCUCCCAGGUCAGCCUGGAGGGCUCUUUCCUGUCCUUGCAGGAGAAUGACCUCCUCUGAUGGACCUUCUUGUCACCAAGGCAUGGGAGUCCCCGUGCUUGCUGUCCCUGCACCUUCGAUGCUUACAAACUGUCCCAGAGAGCCUGUGCUCACUGUUUUCAUUUGAAGGAAGCUGUUGCUCUAAGGGUCACGAGGUGCUAAAGCCAGGGGCCCAGAUGGGUGGGUACUGGAAACAGGAGCUGGGCAGUGUGGUCUGUCACCUGCUCUCAACAUCUUCAGCAGUGCGCCCUGCAGACCCUGGACAGCAAGCUUGGGUUUUAUGGGUGGUGCCUGGCUAGGCACAUAGCCAGGCCAAGCCUAGGCCUCCAGGGGCUCCCCAAAAAUCUGAAUCUCUGAGUAGUCUUCAUCCCCUCUCCUGCUCUAAGGUCAGGCCCAUCCUCUCUGGUCCUUGCCUUGAUGACAAGGAUCCAGCCUUCUGGUGUUUUUGAGCAUUUCAAAGGUCUGCAUAGGAAGGAACAGCCUAGGUACAAACAGACAGGAAGCGGAGCUAUCCUGUGCCCUGACUGCUUCUCAGAACUGCUGCUUAACCACUGAGGACAGUGCUUAGCCCAGAGCUCCUGGGAGGCACACACAUCACGCUGGGGUUGGGUGUCCCUUGCAGACUCAGCCAGGGCAUGGCUUCCUCCUAAGGCAGCCAGGACCGGAGCUGAGCACAGGCACAGGUGUGGGCGACUCCUUGACUAACCCAGAGCAGCCAGCCUAGGCCUCAGAACAGGCUGACCCAGAACAGGGCGCAUGCCUAGGCCUCACACCAGGCUGGAAGACACCUCCACACUCCCUGCUUCUCCGCGGCAGAGGUGCUGUGCUGGCCCCAGGCCCACACUGAUCAUCUAGAUGCGGGGCUGGUAGAGAUGAUUUCCUCUGGAUGGUCUUCCAUGGUCCUCGUAGCACCUCACCUCUUUACCUCCAAAGGCUGCUCUGCAGCCCAAGGGAGGCCGUGCCACACUGCCAGCGACCUUGAAUAACCAGACACCGCCAUGCCCUGACACUGUGCUCACAAGGACCCUGCUCUGUUGCUGCCAUGGGGUGCCACUAUAUUUUGUAUUACACUUUGGUAUUACACUCUUUUUUAAAAUAGACUUGCGCUCUUAUAAAUGACAUGUAAAUAGUUCACCACUGUGCCCCUCUGGCACACCAUCAGCAUUCCCCUUUUUUCUCAGUCCAGUACAUUUUGUUUCUGUAUAUGACUCUGUUUUUUGAAUCCAAAUCUCUCUGUAGUAUUUUUUAAAUAAAUGUUUACAGAACUAUC